GUACACGCUGUGACUAGCAUAUCAAUAAGCGGAGGAAAAGAAACUAACAAGGAUUCCCCUAGUAACGGCGAGUGAAGCGGGAAGAGCUCAAAUUUGAAAUCUUAAAGGGUUUCCCUUUACGAAUUGUAGCUUAAAGAAGUGUUUUCUGUUGAGGUUUUGGUAAAAGUUCUUUGGAAUAGGACAUCAUAGAGGGUGAGAAUCCCGUAUUUGACCUUUACUUUCAACUUUGUGAUACACUUUCAAAGAGUCGGAUUGUUUGGGAAUGCAGUCCAAAAUGGGUGGUAAAUUUCAUCUAAAGCUAAAUAUUGGCGAGAGACCGAUAGCGAACAAGUACCGUGAGGGAAAGAUGAAAGGAACUUUGAAAAGAGAGUUAAACAGUACGUGAAAUUGUCAAAAGGGAAGCGUUUGACACCAGUGUUGUUUUUCUGAAAAUCAAUUAAAGAACUGUUUAUGCUAAGUUGUUUAGACUUUAUCAGCUAACUGUUUAGUUUUGAGCUUUUCUUUAAUGCACUUUUCAGUUAACAAGUCAACAUCAAUUUCUUUUGCUGUAGAAAAGCUUGAGGAAGGUGGCUUGAGAUUCGUCUUAAGUGUUUAUAGCCUCUUGCCUAUGCAGUCGGAGAGAUUGAGGUCUGCAGCGUAGAUCCUUCGGGGCUAAAUGCAUUUGUGCUAAGUUAUAACAUUUUAUAGACAACUUGUUGACUAUGAUUUGUCUUGUAGCUUACUCGCUUAUGUUAUUUUACCUACGCUUAGGAUGUUGACGCGCGUGUGUGCGUG
rnacentral:rRNA from 1 species